CAAUCCUAAUUUCAUUUAGUGAUCUAUUGUGCACCCCAACAGAAUCAUCUCAUAAGUUUUUCUUACAUAAAAAAAGAUAAUAUCUUUCUCAAUGAAUCAUAGAAAAAGUUUUCUGGUGAAGGAAAAUGCAAUCGUAAAUCAUAUGUUAGCUCUGAAAGGAUCACAUAUUCAUAUGAUUUAUGAAAGGAUAUUUCAUCUCUUUUACAUUUCUGUUGUUGGGACUAUCAACAAUCUCACAAGGAGAUGUCAUGAAUCUCUGGAUCGUUUCCCGAAUGAGUCGUGGCUUGUUCGGUGGCUUGUGUAUUGAUGAUGAAGGCCCUAAGGGGUUUGAGUGAGUGGGCC
rnacentral:lncRNA from 1 species